rnacentral:tRNA from 1 species
GCCCCAAAUAGUCUAGUGGUAUGAUCAUCAUACUCGUUUAUGAUUGACCCAGGUUCGAUUCCUGGUUGGGGCA